rnacentral:rRNA from 1 species
GUGGGGAAUCUUAGACAAUGGGCGCAAGCCUGAUCUAGCCAUGCCGCGUGAGCGAUGAAGGCCUUAGGGUUGUAAAGCUCUUUCGUGGGGGAAGAUAAUGACUGUACCCCAAGAAGAAGCCCCGGCUAACUCCGUGCCAGCAGCCGCGGUAAUACGGAGGGGGCUAGCGUUGUUCGGAAUUACUGGGCGUAAAGCGCACGUAGGCGGACUGGAAAGUCAGGGGUGAAAUCCCGGGGCUCAACCCCGGAACUGCCUUUGAAACUCCCAGUCUUGAGUUCGAGAGAGGUGAGUGGAAUUCCGAGUGUAGAGGUGAAAUUCGUAGAUAUUCGGAGGAACACCAGUGGCGAAGGCGGCUCACUGGCUCGAUACUGACGCUGAGGUGCGAAAGCGUGGGGAGCAAACAGGAUUAGAUACCCGUGUAGUC